rnacentral:lncRNA from 1 species
GAGAGCCCUGUUUCUAUUGGCAUCUUCUCGGGCCAUAGGCGCCCUUCGAGUCGUCCCUGUUCUCGCCCCCCUGCAUCCCUCUGAGCGAUCUAGGUUAGUUCCAGAACCUUCAUCUUCCUUCCUGCCACUUAGGGGCUUUUUCUUCGUCAUUUUUUUUUGUUGUAUUCCAUUGAGUUAGUCUCCUCUAGCCUCCCAUCCUUUGUCCUGUCCGUCUUCUUUGGG